rnacentral:misc_RNA from 1 species
GAUGAAGAACGCAGCGAAAUGCGAUAAGUAGUGCGAAUUGCAGAAUUCAGUGAAUCAUCGAAUCUUUGAACGCACAUUGCGCCCUUUGGUAUUCCAAAGGGCAUGCCUGUUCGAGCGUCAUUUGUACCCUCAAGCUUUGCUUGGUGUUGGGCGUCUUGUCUCUAGCUUUGCUGGAGACUCGCCUUAAAGUAAUUGGCAGCCGGCCUACUGGUUUCGGAGCGCAGCACAAGUCGCACUCUCUAUCAGCAAAGGUCUAGCAUCCAUUAAGCCUUUUUUUCAACUUUUGACCUCGGAUCAGGUAGGGAUACCCGCUGAACUUAAGCAUAUCAAUAAGCGGAGGA